rnacentral:lncRNA from 1 species
CAGAAAAACGUGGCCUCCGUAUCAAAAGAGUCAAGGUCACCGUCCCUGUCUCCCUAUUGUGUGCCGGAAGUGUGAGGGGCAGACGACUGGUCACUCGUUCACAGGUCUCUGCACCCCAGAACCCGCCUGGGAGAAGCUGCUGCAGGGGCCUUUCCCACACUCAGACCCCAUCGGUCAGGAGCUGCUGAACCUGGACAUCAGCUUGAAGAUAUGAUUUAAAAUUAAGAGUGAAGAAAAUAACAUUGAAGCAUGUGGUUUCACUGAGUGCUCUAGCUUUGGAUCAGUGAGCUCUCAGAAGGUGGAACUCGGUGAACAACGGUGUCUACUUUUCCAAAGAUGAGCGAAUGAACUCCUACAAAUGGACAAAGGACGUUUUCCUAUGUGUUCAAAGUUAUCACGUGCUUAAAGCAGAGUAUUCAACACUGAACCAGUCUUAGAAUCAGUGGUCAUGUGCGCUGCUUCGUCACCAGCCUUGAAACCAUUGGCCAUACAGUGAGGUUCCCUCUCUAUGUUUAUUGACCAAUCCAGUAGGAGCCUCUCGUGAUUGAAAGAGACCUUAAGGUCACAUUGUCAAUUUCCUGAUCCUACCUUGGGUAAAAUUCUCCGAAAUGAUUUGUUAGACUCUACUGGAAAGGAAAAUCUGC